rnacentral:rRNA from 1 species
UACGAAGGGGGCUAGCGUUGUUCGGAUUUACUGGGCGUAAAGCGCACGUAGGCGGAUUGGUCAGUUAGGGUGAAAUCCUGGAGCUCAACUCCAGAACUGCCUUUAAUACUGCCAGUCUCGAGUCCGGAAGAGGUAAGUGGAACUCCUAGUGUAGAGGUGGAAUUCGUAGAUAUUAGGAAGAACACCAGUGGCGAAGGCGGCUUACUGGUCCGGUUCUGACGCUGAGGCGCGAAAGCGUGGGGAGCAAACAG